GAUGAACGCUGGCGGCGUGCCUAACACAUGCAAGUCGAGCGAGAAGCUCAUGACGGACGCUUCGGUUGAAGUCACGAGUGGAAAGCGGCGGACGGGUGAGUAACGCGUAGGCAACCUGCCCUUUGCAGAGGGAUAGCCUCGGGAAACCGGGAUUAAAACCUCAUAAUACCGCAGUGAGACAUCUCACGGCGGUCAAAGAUUUAUCGGCAAAGGAUGGGCCUGCGUCUGAUUAGUUAGUUGGUGGGGUAACGGCCUACCAAGGCGACGAUCAGUAGCCGACCUGAGAGGGUGAUCGGCCACAUUGGAACUGAGACACGGUCCAAACUCCUACGGGAGGCAGCAGUGGGGAAUAUUGCACAAUGGGGGAAACCCUGAUGCAGCAACGCCGCGUGAAGGAUGAAGGCCUUUGGGUCGUAAACUUCUGUUCUAAGG
rnacentral:rRNA from 1 species